UACACUAUUCCAGGUGGCUCCAGGGAUUCCUGGCCUGGUUAAUAUAAAGGAAACUUCUGGUAGCCUGACAGAAACUCUAGUCUAGGUUCCAGGUUUUCAUCAGUUGAGAAUUAAUGGUUAACUCCCAAUAUCCUGAAGAAGUAUCAGGGCUGUUUAAUGCCCCAACAUUGCCAAAUAACAAGCUUUCUGUUGAACACCUAAAGCCUGCAGAGUUUCACUAAUCCCAUUGAGAUCCUGACUUUUGGGACCAGACUGGACAUCCCAGAGUUGCCAAAGACACCACACCCAGCAUGAAAUACUAUGGCUUCAGGGCAGGCUCUAGAUCAGUCUUCUGACACUUUAAUGUGCUUGUGAGUCAUCUGGGGAUUUUGUAAAAAAUGUAAAUUCUGAUUCAGCAGAUCUGGGUGGGGCCUAAGAUUCUGCAUUUCUAACAGGUUCCCAGGUGGUGCUGAUACUGCUGGCCUGAGGAUCACACUUUGAGUGGCAAUACUGUGAAGGCAGCAGUGUGGAUGGAAAACACUCCAGAGUUCAGAUUCCCUUCAAUGAAUAUAGUUUUCCUGCAGCUGGAACGGAAAGUAGCUUUGAGACAAAUGAAAGAUAUUACAGUAAAAUAGAAUGGAAAUGAGAGUAUAUAAAAGGCAAUGGAGAAAAUAAAUCAAAUUGAGUCACAAAAGACCAUAUCAGAUGUGGUUACCAACCUUGCAUCCCCAAAUGAGAGCAAUCCAAACAUCGGAAUACCGGGAAGCACAGAAGUG
rnacentral:lncRNA from 1 species